GUCGAGAAUCUUCCGCAAUGCGCGAAAGCGUGACGGAGCGACACCGCGUGAUGGAUGAAGUCCUUCGGGGCGUAAACAUCUUUUAUAAAGGAGGAAAUUUUUGACGUUACUUUAUGAAUAAGGGGCUCCCAAUCUCGUGCCAGCAGGAGCGGUAAUACGAGAGCCUCAAGCGUUAUCCGGAAUCAUUGGGCGUAAAGGGUGCGUAGGUGGUUUGAUUAGUCUCCCGUUAAAACUUCGAGCUUAACUCGAAAAGAGCGGGGGAAACGGUCAAACUAGAGUAUGUGAGAGGUGUGUGGAACUCAUGGUGUAGGGGUGAAAUCCGUUGAUAUCAUGGGGAACACCAAAAGCGAAGGCAGCACACUGGCACAUCACUGACACUGAGGCACGAAACCUAAGGUAGCGAAUGGGAUUAGAUACCCUAGUAGUCA
rnacentral:rRNA from 1 species